UUGCAGCCAGUUAAGCCGACUGUGCUCUUUUCCCCGUGGGGGCCCGUUGCGCAACGGCUGCAAACAGCAGCCUCCUCAGUAGUGUAUGCAGCCUGUUGCCUGUAUGGGUUGCCCUAAGGGACCUUGGAGACAGCC
rnacentral:snoRNA from 1 species